ensembl:lncRNA
AAAAAACUCUGUGAAAUCCUAUAUGGACUGAUUAUUACCACUUUCCUAUCCUGGUCCUGGAGUACCUUCUGUCCUGCACAUUUUAGUGUUUACACCUCAUUCAGCUAAAUAAUCAGCUAAUUAACAGCUCUUCCUGUAGUUGGAGCAGGAACACUUAAAUUGUACAGGACAAGGGGUACUCUAGGACCAGUCUUGUGAACCUGCGUAUUAGUACAAAGUAACACAAUGUAAAAUAAUAAGUAAGAAAUUUACUUGGCAGUUUUUAAUAAACGUGUUUUUGGUAAAUCAUGUCGCAGUUAUUCAAGUUCAGUUUAACUAUACUGAGCAUUGAGUAUCUUGCAAACGCUUUUGCUGGACUAUGUGGUUUUGGGAGUAUGGGAAGUCAUAGUGACUUACUCACUGCUCACUAGGUUGUCCACAUUUUGAGAGGCUCUCAUUGCACGGAUCACGUUGCUCUAAACUGGUCAACUCCAUGCUGUGUACUGGAUUGCACAGAAUCAGGAACACAGAGGGAUGUGGAAACUGAUGAAUCCACAAAGCUGUCUUCUGUGUACUGCACGCAGUAAUCUCCUGGUUAAACAUCAAGAGACCGUAUUAAACAACGCUGAACUACAAGCUGACAGCCAGGCGCCACGUCUCAUAAUGUCGGCUGAAUUUUUGUUGAGGGUACAAACAUGAUGUGCUACUUUUAAUUUUUUAGAAGAGGAUAAUAAUAGAACUCGUACAUUUUCCUUUAGACUGUAUUAAUGCACUUAACUAGUUCACCAUACAUUAUUACAUUGUGUUAGCCCCCCAACCCCUUUUUAAUUUUUUUAAUCCCAAGUUGGUUAAGUUUCUGGGUGUGCAUACUGUGCAUUACAUGCCCAGUGGGCUAGCUGAUUAAUUUAUGAUUUGCCCACCCCUGAGGUGGCUAUUUAAGGAUAGAAUAUGUGUUGUAUAAAUCUUUCACUGUCUUCACUUUAUUGCUUUACCUAAGAUGACUAUAUGCAAUACUUUUACAAAAUUGCUGUUUGUCAUGAAGGGAAUCAGGGACUGAAUAAAAACAUAUGUAAAGAUACCAUGUGUCUAAAUUCAUCUGAUUUCUGAAGGUGUUUUUU